rnacentral:misc_RNA from 1 species
AGAAGAGCAUGGCAUGUUGCCUGCAACAUUCAGAAAUAAGCACAAAUAAUUAGCAUUUACAUCCUGAUUGUUUAUACGGAGAAGAAGAAUGAACUUCUAUGAUAGUUCUUUAUUUUAACUCUCAAUUACAUCACAUAAAAUCUUAGAAUUCUUGUUUUUAGGGACAGGACAUGAGCACCUCCAAAGCAAACAUUCAAUCACACAGUAAAGAGCACUAGCAUCACAAGCAAAUGUGACAAACGUAACUACUAAAAAAUCAAAGGAGGCAAAGGUGACUGAAGGAUCAAAGCAGAACUAAACAAGCAAAGCCAUAAGGAAGGCCUAAUAACUUCAUAGGUAGGGGAGAGCAGAUUUCAGUUUAAACCAAAAAACCAAACCGAACCGAG